CCUACGGGUGGCAGCAGUGAGGAAUAUUGGUCAAUGGACGCAAGUCUGAACCAGCCAUGCCGCGUGCAGGAAGACGGCCCUCUGAGUUUUAAACUGCUUUUGUACAAGGGUAAACCUUAAGACGUGUAUUCUUCUGAAUGUACUGUACGCACAGGGAUCGCCUAACUCCGUGCCAGCAGCCGCGGUAAUACGGAGGAUCCAAGCGUUAUCCGGAUGUGUUGGGUUUAAAGGGUGCGUAGGCGGAUUGAUAAGUGAGAGGUGAAAUGUCCGGGCGUAACUCGGGAACUGCCUCUAAUACUGGUAGUCUAGAGAGUAGAUGCGGUAGGCAGAAUGUAUGGUGUAGCGGUGAAAUGCGUAGAGAUC
rnacentral:rRNA from 1 species